CUUUUAUAUGUACAAACACAAACAAACACACUCAAGUGCCCGAGGGGGCGCACACACACAUACAAAACAAUUUGUGUCUCCACAUGCACAUACUUUUUUUAAAAAAAGUUUUCACAUGCAUAUGCUUUUUAUAGUGUCAUGGGCUUAUGCAACACGUGCAUGCCUUUGGUGAAGGCACACAACACAACUGAUCUUCUUUUAUAGGAAUCCUCAACUUUUUUUUUUUUUUACAAGAAUACUGAAUAUUUAAGUCAAUGAAAUAAUUACAGUGAUCGAGUUAAAAUAAAUGAGAAGAAACAACCAAUGAGUCUAAAGAAGCACCUCUCUUGGCCAAGUCGUCCGCAAUGUGAUUCACUUCCCUGUAAACAUGAUUGAAGCAAAAAUUGCUAACCGAAAAAAGAUCCAUGAUUUUCAGUCAUAAAGAUCGUAAACGCCAAGGAGGUCUAAACACACCGCUGCACCAAUUGAUAACGUUGAUGGAAGCCCCUUCUAUGAUCAACUCACUCCCCAACUCUUUCUCCUUCCAUAUCAUCACCCCCUGCAAAAGUGUUGCCAUUUUUGUAUGAUUGGCGGUAACCUCUCCAUAAGGUGCAACAUAGCAAAAAAUAACAUUACCUGCAUUAUCUUUACAUACACCACCCACCCCAGCCCUCCCUAGAUUGCCAAAUGAAGAACCAUCAAAAUUGACUUUUAAACCAUCAAAAUUGAGUUUUAAGCAUCCCAUAAUUGCGGGAUCUAAACACACCUUGGUCUUACCUUGAUAAAUCUCGGAGAUACCAAAUAUGCCAUUUUGUACUCUACAUCAAUCUUGGACACUCCUCAAUUGUCACGACUCCGCCCCCAAAACCCUACUGUACUUGCCAAAGGUGACAGAAUGCGGGACUGUGACGUAAGGUAGCAAAUGCCACUGAUGGGAGUGAGCUCAAUGCAUUUUAAAAAGAAAGAAAUCAGAGCAAAACAUAAAAAAAAGCAAAAACUCCCACUAGUACCAUAAUAAAAGCUAGAUAAAUUAAGACCAAAAAUCAUAUACAAUAUCUAAAAUAUUACAAUUUGCCCAAGGCAUGAAAAGCCCACCCACAAAAAUACAUAAGUUCACAACAAAAGCAACUCUACGGCCAAUAACCAUCUAACACCUACAAUCAUAAGGAAGCUCUCUUUGAGAGAAGACCUUCAGUUUGCCAGUCAUGAUCACCACCCGCCCUUCCCUGCUAUCAAUCUACAAAGAUAAGAGUAAACAGAAUGAGCUAUAAAGCCCAGUAAGUAGAUCCAAUAUCAUGUGUUCCUGCCUAUAUACGGUGGCUCAUGGCUAUACUCAAGAUUCAUAUAAGUAUCAACAUAGAGUCGUAUAUCACAAUUAUGUCACAAUUAUAUUAGUCGUGUGUUGUGAGUGAAUUCUUUUUAUGGUGGGGCAAUCCCAAUCAGCUAUCAGAUCUCAUAUGAACUAUUAAUUUAUUACAUCCCAUCAUCAUAACAAAUCAUCAUAAUUACUAGAUUACUAGUAGGCAAGUACAACAGGUAUAAACAUAAUUAGUAGAUACUAACCAACUCACUCUCUAAAUCACCUACUCCCAAAGUAGAAGCUCUAUUCAUCAGGCCAAGCCAAUCUUAUUGCUUAAGACUUCUACCAUCACUCAUAAAAGAAGACAAUGAUAAUGACAAUGAUUAAUCUCAUUCGUAAUGCCUUUACACACACGCACAUAGUCCUCAACGCGCUUUGGGACUUUUGAUAGGCACUUGCCUUACAAGACACGGUUCACUUUUCCUUUUUUUGUAUCACACAAAAUUUUGGGGGGUACGACCCUCCCAUCAUAUACUCAUCUUAACUCCCUCUUAUCAUAAGGAGUUAAGGAAAUAUGGCAGCUGUCGGCACCAUUAUUCACACAGUAAGUGCCCUACCCAACAGGCGGCCGCCAACACCGUUAUUCACACAGUAGGUGCCCAUUCAUACAUAUCACAUAAGCCGCAUAUUACUAUGCACACAUAUCACAUCAGAAGUAUAUCAAGCAGCUGCCAACACUAUUAUUCAUACAAUAGGUGCUCGUUCACAUAUCACAUAAGUAACAUAUUGCUAUGCGCAUAUAUCAUAUCAAAUGCAUAUCAAACAUUUGCCGACACCAUCAUUCACACAGUAAGUACCCAUUCACAUAGCACUUAUUAUAAUCAAAACAUAUCACAUCAUACUACCAAUGGCCAAUGGAAGACCCAUUGCACAGUGUGUCACACAUCAUAUCAUACUUUCAUCAUAUCAUAACGUGCUUUCAUUUUAUAACUAAGCAUAUAUUCAUUUCAUAACUGAACCAGUAUUCCUCGCAUAACAGAGUAGGUGUUCAUUUCAUAACAGAGCAUGUAUCUCUAUAUGUAUUCACAUCAUAAUAGAUUCCACUACCGAUUGAUGUCCCAUUGCGUAGUGUUUCAUAUCACAUUCACAUCACACGUAAUUAUAACGUAAUUAUAACAGUGUACAUACAUACUCAAGCAUUCAUUCACUCAUGCUUUGAUAUUUUUCAAGAAUCUAAGAGCAUUCACAGUAUCAUAAGCAUGCAUAUUCAAUGCCUCAUGACAGGUAAUUUCAAUAUCUUUAUGAAGGGUUUAAGCUUUAUUAAGAAACAUAUAAAUCAAUGUACCACUUUUGAAUCAUACAACAGUUUAGGAUUCACUACCAUUUCGAUCGAUGAUAUACAUAUGCGAAAGGGGACAUGAUAUCUAAUUCAUAA
rnacentral:lncRNA from 1 species